rnacentral:lncRNA from 1 species
AAUGGUUGAGGGAUUUUAUGGGGUUCAAUACGUGGUUGCGGGAGUGGACCACGAGGUGUGGUUGUGUGAGUGGAGUACUUAAUCCUACGGGAUUCUUGGUGAGCGGGGCUUGGUAUUUGUCUGAGUGACUAUACCGGUAAGUCGGUAUUCGAUCUGUAGUGAUUGUACCGCAGUUGUUCUAGUCGGUAUUCGAUCUGUAGUGAUUGUACCGCAGUUGUUCUAGUCGGUAUUCGAUCUGUAGUGAUUGUACCGUAGUUGUUAAAGUCGGUAUUCGAUCUGUAGUGAUUGUACCUCAGUUGAUAGUGUCGGUGAUUUGUCUGAGUGACUUCACCCGGUGUUUGGUACUUUGUCUGAGU